CAAACGGCCCUUUUCAGGGCCACCAAAUUUUAUGCAACAUGUUUCGG
rfam:Trichuris muris Edinburgh genomic scaffold, scaffold8